CCUGAAGUUGUGUUGCCUGUUAAUCCCGACGUCCCUCGCUAAGAAGAACGACAGUUGCCGAGCUGGCGCGGCAAAGUGGAGAUUCCCACCGAGAUCUGAGAAAGAAGGGGUAGCGGACGGGGUCGUCCUAGACCCGAGUUGAUAAACCAAUUUGGGUGCCAGAGCGGUGCGUAAGGCCAGUGACCCAGGAUGAAGACCACAAUGCUCCUUCUGCUUCAGGCUGAUGACUCUGGUAACAAUAGCAGAAUUAUGAGUGAUGGGGAGUCUGCUGGGAAACCCCCCACUUUUAAUGCCAGUUAGUAUUGCAUAAUUCCUAUGGUCCCAAACCUGCUCCUUGGUGUUCAGAUGCUGAUGGAGGUUUUAAUCUCCACCCGACAGUUAUGUGGGGAUACUGUAUCACUCAAGAGUCUGAUUUGUUAUACUGCUGGAAGCAAUAUGACUAUUUGAUCCUCUGCUUGCGUCCCUCCCCCAUUUUUUCUUUGUAUUGUGGAGUGGCACUUUUGGGGGGGGGUGAUAUUCUUAAUUGUUCUUCCAGGAUCUCCAAGCUGAGUAAUUGCUGGGAUGGUUCUGAGGAGCUUUGAUCGUUCGAGUGCCUGCUGUGAUUCCUCUGCCGGUGCUGGUGUCUCAAGAACAUCAGGAGAUCAUCCUUUAUCGACAGUGGGCGAACAGCUGCAAUUGUUGCUGCUAUUGCUGUCACUGCCACUGCGGCUACGGUUGCUGGAGUUGCCAUUUCACAGACAACUGUGACUACAGAGACUGUGAAUCAGCUGUCUGGAAGGGUUAGCAAGUCCCUGCAGACACAGAGUGCUCUGGACUCUCAUAUUGGACUUGGACUUUUAAAUUUAAAUCAACAAACUGUGCUUUUGCAAGAACAGGUAGAUUCCCUUUGACUCCUGCAACAAGUGUCUUGUACGUUACACCUGCUAAUGUUAUAAAUGCUUCUGAUGUGGCUGAACAGUUGAAUGCA